AGCACAUUCUGGGCCAUACUUGGAGGAGCUGUUUGAUACCUGAUGAGGAAUAGCCCACCAUGGAACCUGCAGCAGAUAGGACAGAAGCCAUCCUGGAGCCUGAUCCCUCAGCCUCUACUGACUGCAGUAUCUCCACAGCACACUGCAAUACAAACCUAGACCAAAUAUACCUUCAUGGACCAUUCCAAGAUGGAGCUUUUGCAUGAUGAACUUAUGGUUGAAGUUCUGGACAGGGCCAACAAGCAGUCCAGUAUCAAAAACAGAAGGACUUAUGGCUAGAGAAAAGGCAUGGCAAGAGGCAAGAGGUUACCAGGUACACUGGCUCUGUGAACUAGCUUUCCAGGAUAGAGAACAAUGUGGAAAUUCACUUAUUACAUGCGGCAAUAACUGCUGGAGAAUGAAUGCAUUUUUUUGUAUACACUGAAAGUGAAAAUUAGUUCACUGACUAAGGCACAAUGGUUUCUGUCAGAGACUACCAUCUACAUAUUUAAGCCCUUGGAAGAGUUUGUCCAUGAGAUUAGUUCUGGAGAUGUUGGCAUAUUUGUCAUGGUGCCAGCUGCCAGGAUAUGGAACUGAUGAGCUAGGCCAUGAAAAAGACAACUUUAUAUUCUGCUUCUGAGCAGUUUACCGAAGUGAAAAGUAGGGAAAAAAUAUGGUCACUUGAAUGCUCACUCUUGAAUUCAGCUUCUGAAACUCACCACAGUAAUGCCAGGGCUUCUGCACUUAAGACUGGCUGAAGAAAAGUAGAAAAGAACCACCAAAUCAAACACUAGGAAAAAAUGCAACAUAGAAAAGAAAGAGACUCCAGUCAUCCAGCAACCUAAUAAAUAAAGCCUGCUUUGAAACUUUAAAUGUGUGGAGCUUCUAAGAAAAGACCAUGAUCAAUUCUCAGACCCCGAUAACUAAAAAGUGCUUCCUAGACUGAACUUGCACUACACCUCACAGAGCCAAUUAUGCUCCGGAGACCCAGCUGACUGGUAGAUGUAUAAUGCUAUCAGACUUCCACAUCUUGUAAACCUGGCUUUGUCUUUUCUCAGAGCUCUACCCCAGCAGUGUUCCCUCUGAAAGGCUCUUCAGCUAUUUAGAGAAUGUUACAUCUGACAACAGAUGCCAGCACCUGCCAGAAAAUGAAGGAAGGCUUGUCUUUUUGAAAUGUGAUCUACCCAUACUCAGUUUUAAAUACUAUUAAUGGCUAUUAUUUGUAAUUCUUUGCCAGAUUAUUCAGUUUUUCUGUCUACUUUAUUGCACCAUAAAUUUAGUCUUCUAGAAAGCUUUCUGCUUAUUACUGAUUACUGAAGCAUUUACAAAAUAUACUGCUGUAUGUUUUAAACCAAGCUGCUACCACUUUUAAAAUUACUUUCUUUACAAGCUUUUUCUACAAUUUAUAAGCUAUGUUCAUCUCAACUGUGCCAUGUGGUGAUAUAUUGUAUUAAACAGAUAUUUAAAUUUACAUAAGUAAAUAUUUAAUAUAAAUAUUCUUCACAAACUGCAUGAUAUUUUACUACAUGAAUUUUGAGUAAUUUACAAAACCGUUAUCAAAAUAUUUAGUAUCAGACAAUUCUA